GAAGUUACAACGCAAACGCUCACUUCCAAAACUCUUUUUGAUUACUGCAGGGCCACGAUUUUGUAGCGAUGCCUUCCGCUCGAUCAUAUGCCCCUCUUAUCAUCCACCGCUCAUGGCCGGCUAGGCCGGUAUUUGGUAGCGAUGCCUUUAAUGUAAUAAUGUCUUUACGCGCUUAUCGUGCUUUUUCAGUGGACGGAGCGACGGUCCGCUCGCAUUAUCAACGGGAUCAGCCGGCCGUGAGCGGUGGAUGAUAAGAAUAGAGUAGAAUAAGUCAUAAUGCCUUGAUACAAAAUCGCGGCCCUGAUCGCUUUGAUAACGCGGGCGGGGCGUCGCUCUGACCCCUGACAAAGCGCGAAAAGUGCAAAAAGGAAUAUCAUCGGAGACGGAAUCGCUACAAAAUCGCGGCCCGCGCGCAUGUGCAUCUGUGUCUGUGUUGUGCGAGUUUGCGUGCGCUGAAAAUUUUUUUAUUGCGCUCAGAGAAAUCUGAUCAUGCCACUCUACAUGACGCGGUGGGCAAAAUGAAUGAACGCCAACAAUCGUGUUCAUUGACCACGUAUACAAAACACACAAACGAUCGAUGUCGAAUUCAUAAUUACUCUCAUGAGUUGGGAUGUCAUUUUAAGAAUGCUUAAGCCUGAUGCAGUUCUCAACAUUUCUUAUCUGUACAACUGUACAACUUUGUACCUUCCACCCAUGGAGGAAGGAAACAACUUGAAAAAAAAAAGGUUUUUUUUAUCUUCCUCCAUGCUUCCACCCACUACUGUUGUACGGCAUUGCUUUAGUAGUAUUUUUCUUUUCUGUUUUGGUUUGGUUUGGGUGAUGCAGUGGUGGCAGUCGAAGUCGCAUGCCAAUCCGCAUCCAUAGAAUCCACGGCCAUAGCCACAGCUGUCAUCUAAGCGAGAACGACUGCGUUGCACUGUGUUAAGCUCGAGAUGCUUGUAUUCGUUGAAUAUGAAGUGGACAUGACCACUGCGGUUGUCAGGCACACCGCAGUGCAAAACUUUAACCCAGAGAAUGUCGUGGAUUUCGAUCCAAUUGUCCUCUACGACGUGUGGUGGAACGGCGAUGCGACAGAGUGCUGCACAUGGCUGAAACUGAAGAAAUGGUGCUGCACACGUCGAAAAGGCUCAGAAAUCUGUCCUUAGAAAAGGGCAAGAGCACCAAAGGAAUUAUAACUGCCAUGGCCUCUAUGGCACCUUUGUCACAGGAGCAUGCUGACAUGGACAUAUUCACUGGAGAGGCCAUCGAUGUUGUCAUCGGAUCCUCAAGAGAUGACGGAAAGGUGUAUGCUGGAUCCGGGCAAUGAAUAGAAAAGGCUGCUUGGGGGACAUUGUUGCGGUCUACGUCUGACUAUGUUCUGCCGUAUGGCGUCCACAACGUAUUGGAUGCCAGAUGAGCUUAAGAACAGAAGCGUGACCGGGACUUUGUCCAACAAGUCGCGAUCCAAGGGAAGGACUGAGGCCAGACCAGCCGUGACACCACAAAAGUUGUCAUCCUUGAAAAGCCUCCUCCGGAUCUUCAUGGGCAACCGUGUCAUGCCGGAAGACGAGAAAAAAAAGAUUGAAAGAAGUGCGCAGGCAAUUGGUGCAGAAACUCGCUGACGCGCAAAGAAGGUAGUGCUACUGGUACUGAUUGCUACGGGGCUUGUCCCAAAAGUUUGUGCACUGAGCCAGCAAAAACGCGGCAGAGAAUGUAGUGACAUGAACUGCUCAAACUUCUGGGACAGACUUUGUAUAUUUACCUUACCAGCUUAGCACUUCUACCUUUCUUUGUGGAGUUAGUGCUUACCGUAUUUACUAAAAAAUAGGUCCAACAUGAGUAUAGGUCGACCACUAUAUAUUGAAUUAGUUGAGAAAUUUAGAAAAUUUUAGUUUGAAUUAAGUCAGCCAAUAUCUUUCUUUAGCAGUAGUAGUGUAAACUUAAAUUAUUUCUCUUAAGGGUCUUGGGUGGUGGGUGGGUGCCUCAGUUUAGAGCUCCAUUGGUCUCUGCAGCUUGCUGGGCUUGAUCGAGAAGAGCUCUCUGGCUCUCUAGAUUUUCGCUAGCAAGCCAAACGUCCCGCUGCCUGUUGCUUGGAAUUUGCGCCGUUAGGGGGUGAAUUUAGAAUUUGGAAGUCGUUGCUUACAUAUCCACAUUACAGGACGAGACUUGGCCCACCAAGGGAAGUGGCAGGGUGUAUGCAUCUUGUGAAGUAUUUGGAUGUAUGGAUAUGCGUGGAGGACCACACAAAUAGCGAAGGAACGAAAAAGAUUAGGUCUAUCUUAAAGAGACGGGAAGAGUGUGGAUCAGAGAGCAAAUGGCGAUAGCCGAUAUUCUUGUUAACAUUAAGAGGGGAAAUGGAACUGGGCAGGCCAUGUAAUGCGUAGGAUGGAUAACCGGUGGAUCAUUGGUUACAAAAUGGAUACCAAGAAAGGGAAGCGCAGUCGAGGAUGGCAGAAAACUAGGUGGGGGGAUGAAGUUAGGAAAUUUGCAGGCGCAAGUUGGAAUCUGCUAGCGCAGGACAGGGGUAAUGGAGAUCGCAGGGAGAGGCCUUCGUCCUGCAGUGGACAUAAGUAUAGGUUGAUGAUGAUGUGUGUUUGUAAGAAGAGCCAGUACCUGGCCUGUUUCCCUGUACGGUCUGGGUGUAGGUGGCUGUAUUUUUGUCUCUUUGGUCUCCGAGGAUGUCGUGCUGGUGGAUCAGGGGUAUUCCAGUAAAACACGUUGUGGGGCUAGUUGGUGCAUAGCUUUCAAAAGAUGAAGCGCCAACAGUGACAGCACAUUAGGAAGGAACAAAGACAGGACAGGCGCUACUUGCAACUGUUUAUUGUGGUCAAAGGUGGUUGAAUAUAUAGCCAUGGGGAGAGGGGGGGACGAAAAAGGCGGAACACUGAUUGUAUGAAUGCGCACGCGUGAGAACACUGAAGAUGUGCAUGAAGGAAAUGGCGAAUCUAAAACUUAUCUAAAAACACACUUUCAUUUGUGUAUAUAUUCAGAGACGGGGAGCUGACAC